rnacentral:rRNA from 1 species
CAUGCAGUCGUGCGGAAGGCCCCUUCGGGGGUACUCGAGCGGCGAAAGGGAGAGUAACGCAUGGAUAACCUGCCCUCAGGACCGGGAUAGCCGUGGGAAACUGCGGGUAAUACCGGAUGAUGUCUUCGGACCAAAGGUGCGAAUCCGCCUGAGGAGGGGUCCAUGUCCUAUUAGCUAGUUGGUGGGGUAAUGGCCUACCAAGGCUUAGAUGGGUAUGGGGUGUGAGAGCAUGGCCCCACUCACUGGGACUGAGACACUGCCCAGACACCUACGGGUGGCUGCAGUCGAGAAUCUUCGGCAAUGGGCGCAAGCCUGACCGAGCGACGCCGCGUGCGGGAUGAAGGCCUUCGGGUUGUAAUCCGCUGUCAGAGGGGAGGAAAUGGCGGCCCUCAGGGUCGUCUUGACCAAACCUCAGAGGAAGGACGGGCUAAGUUCGUGCCAGCAGCCGCGGUAAGACGAACCGUCCAAACGUUAUUCGGAAUUACUGGGCUUAAAGGGUGCGUAGGCGGCCUGGCAAGUUGGGUGUGAAAGCCCUCGGCUCAACCGAGGAAUUGCGCCCAAAACUGCUAGGCUUGAGGGAGAUAGAGGUGAGCGGAACUUGGGGUGGAGCGGUGAAAUGCAUUGAUAUCCCAAGGAACACCAGAGGCGAAAGCGGCUCACUGGGUCUCUUCUGACGCUGAGGCACGAAAGCUAGGGGAGCGAACGGGAUUAGAUACCCCGGUAGUCCUAGCCCUAAACGAUGAGCACUAGGCUGAGGGAUUCUCCAUGAUUUCUUGGCCG